UACGUAGGGGGCAAGCGUUGUCCGGAUUUAUUGGGCGUAAAGAGCGUGUAGGCGGCCAGGUAGGUCAGCUGUGAAAACUCGAGGCUCAACCUCGAGAUGUCGGCUGAAACCAUCUGGCUAGAGUCCGGAAGAGGAGAAUGGAAUUCCCGGUGUAGCGGUGAAAUGCGCAGAUAUCGGGAAGAACACCCGUGGCGAAGGCAGCUCUCUGGGACGGUACUGACGCUGAGACGCGAAAGCGUGGGGAGCGAACAGG
rnacentral:rRNA from 1 species